rnacentral:rRNA from 1 species
UACGAAGGGGGCUAGCGUUGCUCGGAAUGACUGGGCGUAAAGGGCGCGUAGGCGGAUGACACAGUCAGAUGUGAAAUUCCCGGGCUUAACCUGGGGGCUGCAUUUGAUACGUGUUGUCUAGAGUGAGGAAGAGGGUUGUGGAAUUCCCAGUGUAGAGGUGAAAUUCGUAGAUAUGGGGGGGAACACCGGUGGCGAAGGCGGCCACCUGGACGGUAACUGACGCUGAGACGCGAAAGCGUGGGGAGCAAACAGG